rnacentral:sRNA from 1 species
AAAAGAUAAGAAGAAGAAAAAACAAA